UGGCGCAUCUUCUGGAGGUGGCUGCUGCAGUUUCCUUUCAUGUGCAACAAUGGGUUGAGUCGGCUCCUGACGGACAGGUUCCAGACCUUCACUCAUUGUUGCCAUGUGUGUAGUUGUAACAGGUGUUGGCACCACAAUCUCAGAGAUUGUUGGUGCGGCAACAACAGGUAGUGAAAAUAAUGGCUCCUGAGUCAUCGGAUUAGGUGCAUGCACCCUCUUCUCC
rnacentral:lncRNA from 1 species